UACGAAGGGGGCUAGCGUUGUUCGGAAUCACUGGGCGUAAAGGGCGCGUAGGCGGCCUGAUAAGUCGGGGGGUGAAAGCCUGUGGCUCAACCACAGAAUUGCCUUCGAUACUGUUAGGCUUGAGACCGGAAGAGGUAAGUGGAACUGCGAGUGUAGAGGUGAAAAUUCGUAGAUAUUCGCAAGAACACCAGUGGCGAAGGCGGCUUACUGGUCCGGUUCUGACGCUGAGGCGCGAAAGCGUGGGGAGCAAACAGG
rnacentral:rRNA from 1 species